rnacentral:rRNA from 1 species
CUACGGGACGCUGCAGUGGGGAAUAUUGCACAAUGGAGGAAACUCUGAUGCAGCAACGCCGCGUGGAGGAUGACACUUUUCGGAGCGUAAACUCCUUUUAUAUAGGAAGAAGAUGACGGUACUAUAUGAAUAAGCGCCGGCUAACUCCGUGCCAGCAGCCGCGGUAAUACGGAGGGCGCAAGCGUUACUCGGAAUCACUGGGCGUAAAGUGCGUGUAGGCGGAUUAAAAAGUCAGAAGUGAAAUCCUAUAGCUUAACUAUAGAACUGCUUCUGAAACUCUUAAUCUAGAAUAUGGGAGAGGUAGAUGGAAUUUCUGGUGUAGGGGUAAUAUCCGUAGAGAUCAGAAGGAAUACCGAUUGCGAAGGCGAUCUACUAGAACAUUAUUGACGCUGAGACGCGAAAGCGUGGGGAGCAAACAGGAUUAGAUACCCCAGUAGUC